GGCCAGGCCCAGCGCAACCCGACCUUGUGAACCCCGUCAGGACCGGAAGGUAGCAGCGGUAAGCAAAUCCUCGGGAGUGCCGCUGAUCCCCUGGCCCUU
rnacentral:SRP_RNA from 1 species